CUUUGGCAAUUCCGCUCUUUCCUAAUCUUCUUCCUUCUUCUCUCUCCUCUCUUGCAAUCUGCAAUUUGGCAAUUCCUGAUUUCGUGUGCAUCUCCUUCCAAAAACAGCAACGUCUACAACCCUUUUUGCAAAGUUUAGUGUCACUCCUCCUAUUUUUCAAUUUAUGAGAUGUUCACUUUGAUUUGGUUUCUUAAUAUGAUGUUUAUGCUACUGUGGAUGACAGAAUAUUAUAACAAAAAUCUUCUCCCUUCUUUGGUUUCGUAUUUAAAUUUCUUCUAUAUAAGCUGCAUUUGUAUACCAAAGAUUGUUAAUCAAAUAAACAAUCAAUUUGUUUAAUUUCGGGUU
rnacentral:lncRNA from 1 species